AGGGCUUGGAAGGAAAAGCUAUAGCAUCAGCUCCCUGUGAGCAUUUAACUGGUUACUUCAUGCUUUUAGAAUUUGCUCCCCAAGUCUGCUCCUACCUGCCUCACAAAGUAUAGCAAGGGUAACAUUUUUCAUAUUUAGCUCCCCUCAACAAUCACAUGAGGGUAAGGGCUUGGAGCUGUCCCCUGGCUUAUUGUGUGGGCUAAUGAGGGGUUGUAAAGCAUGAUAUAUAUGUAAUGUGUGGUGUGAAAUAUUUAACACCUCUCCUGAGAAAGAAAAUCCUAAUUGUCCACCUGGAACUGUCUCGCUCGCCAAUUAAUUCCAGUUUGGGAGAUUGACAUAGAAGGUCCCACCUAAUCUAACACAGCCUACAAAGGGCUUAGACAGGUGAGGAAGUAAAACUCCCUCCCUAAAAAAAAUCACAAGACCCUUUGGAGGAAUUACUGCCAGCCAUAGACCAGCCAACCUACCCCUGUGCAUUGCAGGUAAUAUUUUCAUAGAAGAAGUUUCCUUUUGCUCAGGCUGCCUGGCAAGGCCAUUUACAAAGUAACGAGUAGCUACUGAAGCUAACCAGGGACGUUUUUCUAUCCAGGGAAUUUUCAUUAUGUUCAACAUUUGGAAAUUUCAACUAAAGAUAAUUGCAGGAAAUUCUCUAUUUAUUUCCAUUCUCUUUGAUAAUUGUUCAACAUGGCUGGACCAAAAAGAUCCCAAGAGCUAAUGAUGAUAGGCCUCCCUCCCUGGUGCUGCCAGGAGACAGCACUCCUUCGCCAACACCGCUGCCAGGCUUGGAGGCCUCUGUGUAAACCCUUAGGGCAUGCCUUAUGCAGGUAACCAUCUCUGUUUAGAGAGACCUGUUCAUUUAAUAUGUUCCUGGAAAGAGACAGAAGUGACACUCCAGGACUGCCGACAAGGAAGACCAGUCUGGACUGACAGGAUGACUUCCUGAGACUCCAGUUCUGUACUCUCCCAGCAUGCCUUUGCUUUUGAAUCUUACAGAGCUUUAUUAAUUGUUCUUUUUGAGAAGUUCUUUUUGUUUUAGUUCACGAGGGGUCCAUCUGCUUCCAUGUGACACUACAGUUCAUACCGUACUCUGACAAAAAUGACACUUUCAGUGUCUUUCAGGGAAACAAAACAAACAAACAACGAAAACUCUUGUAGCAGUAAGAAUAAAACCUGAUUUAAACAGAAGAAGGAAAAGAAACCGGAGAGAAUAAAUGACUUACUUGGA